GUAACAAUUGUGGAACGGUGGAAAUUUUAAUACGUGGGCCCCCUUUAAUUAUUUUUAAAAGCAAAAAGAGGGAGCGACACAAGUUCUUCUUAAAAUUAUCCUACGAAAUGUCGUGAUCUCUCUUGGUGCUUUCAGAACAACUCCAACCGAAAACAUCCUCUAAAAGGCACAAUCAGAAGACCGAAUAAUAGAAAAAUGCAAAGCCGAGCAGAGCUUAUAGCCAUUAUAGAGGCCGUAGAAACUCACGAAAAUAAAAGAGGAAAAUUCUGCAUAUGUUCAGACUCACUUUCCGCAUUUGAAGCUAUUAAAAAUCUAAACAACAGCGAUCACUACACAUCUUACGCUCGCAACAUACUACAAAAAUUCAAUACCAAAUUUAAACUCCUUUGGAUAUUAGGACUUGUUGGAAUACCAGGAAAUCAACUCGGUGAUUGCCAAGCAACAAACCAACCACUUACAACUAUUGAAAACCUUAACACACAGGACAUAUGUACAUUCGUAAAUAUUUAAAAAACGAAUACUACAAGAAAUACCUAACAAAAAUCACAAAAACAUUAACUUGGUUUCAAACAUCCAACCAAAAUCUUCUUAAGAGACUCGGACACACACAUGCACUUCCACGACCAAACCCAACAGACAACCUGGAACACCUGUUGUCCACCUGUAUCCAUCUUAGAAACCAUAGAAGCAACAUUUUUAACAAUACCAACCCAAUAGAGCGCCUUUUAAUUCCCACACCGUCAAACAUAUUAAAUAUCCUUAAAUACAUUAAAAUCGUCUAUCAUAUACCUAUAUACCAAAUAUAAUGAAACAUUAACAAGAUUAUUCUAUCCAUCUAGAUGUAAAAUAUGGUAUAAAACAUUAGCUGAAGGCCUCUGCUGCCAUAGCUCUAAUUAAUUCGCUAGCUCGUUAGAAAACAAGAAAAUCUAUAUCCAAAAAUAAAAAUAUAAAUAAGUAAUAUUAAUUAUGUACGAAUUAUGGCCAUGGUAA